UACGGAGGGAGCUAGCGUUGUUCGGAUUUACUGGGCGUAAAGGGCGCGUAGGCGGUUGUGUAAGUCAGACGUGAAAACCAUCGGCUCAACCGAUUGGAUUGCAUUUGAUACUGCACAACUCGAGUUCAGUAGAGGAGAGCGGAAUUCCCAGUGUAGCGGUGGAAUGCGUAGAUAUUGGGAAGAACACCAGUGGCGAAGGCGGCUCUCUGGACUGACACUGACGCUGAGGCGCGAAAGCCAGGGGA
rnacentral:rRNA from 1 species